GAUUGAGGUAGAGGUUGCAUUUACUAAGAGUAAUAUUGAAGAGGUCGGAAGCCAAUGAAUCAAUAUAAAAGGAGUAAGUGCCGAAGUUCUAGUGUCCAAAGCUAGUGCUGGGACUGUAUUUAAUAAGUACAGGACUGUCAUCAAAAUUAUCCCAAGUUUUGAUGGAGAGCUAUCUUAAGU
rfam:Terrisporobacter sp. 08-306576 Contig026, whole genome shotgun sequence.